CCCGAAAGCUAUUUAGGUAGCGCCUCGUGAAUUCAUCUCCGGGGGUAGAGCACUGUUUCGGCAAGGGGGUCAUCCCGACUUACCAACCCGAUGCAAACUGCGAAUACCGGAGAAUGUUAUCACGGGAGACACACGGCGGGUGCUAACGUCCGUCGUGAAGAGGGAAACAACCCAGACCGCCAGCUAAGGUCCCAAAGUCAUGGUUAAGUGGGAAACGAUGUGGGAAGGCCCAGACAGCCAGGAUGUUGGCUUAGAAGCAGCCAUCAUUUAAAGAAAGCGUAAUAGCUCACUGGUCGAGUCGGCCUGCGCGGAAGAUGUAACGGGGCUAAACCAUGCACCGAAGCUGCGGCAGCGACACUAUGUGUUGUUGGGUAGGGGAGCGU
rnacentral:rRNA from 1 species